rnacentral:rRNA from 1 species
AAAUAAAAUUUAUGAAAUUAAAAAAUUUUGGCGGUAUUUUAAGCUUAUUAGAGGAAUUUGCUCUGUGAUGGACACAACGCCUUAAUCUUACUUAAUUUAGUAAUUUAAAUCAGUUUGUAUACCACUAUAUUAAUUAUAUUGAAUAGUUAUAUUUAAAAUUUUUUUAAAAAAAUAUAUUAAGUCAAGGUGCAUCUAAUAAUUAUGAAUGAAGUGAAUUACAUUAAUUUUAAUGUAAUUUUUUACAUGAAAAAAUUAAUUAGGAUUUAAUAGUAAAAUACUAAUAUUAUGAGUAUUUGAAUCAAGCUCUAAAAUAUGCAC